AAACUCCUCCCUAGCGCC
rnacentral:tRNA from 1 species